UACGUAGGGUGCAAGCGUUAUCCGGAAUUAUUGGGUUUAAAGGACGCGUAGGCGGUUUUCUAAGUCAGUGGUGAAAGUUUGCGGCUUAACCGUAAAAUAGCCAUCGAUACUGGAAUGACUAGAGAAAAUUCGACGUGGAUGGAAUGUGUGGUGUAGCGGUGAAAUGCGUAGAUAUCACACGGAACACCAAUUGCGAAGGCAGUUCACGAGAAUUUUUCUGACGCUCAGGCGUGAAGGCAUGGGGAGCAAACAGG
rnacentral:rRNA from 1 species